AUGGACGACAAGAUUGGCUGGGUUAGCAGGAAACGGAGGGAUGCCAUGCCAGACGAGAGAUCAACAAGUGCAGACAGGGUCACCGCGCUGGAAAAAGCACUAACCGGGUUUGCGGAUAGGGAUUCAGAAACAGUUGUGACCCCGUCAGUCGGGCUGACAUUUGAUUCAAUAAUCGAAGCAUACAAGUUCUACAACCUGUACUCUUGGGAAACUGGAUUUGGGGUUCGUUAUGCAAAGAGCAGGACUAAUGUAAAAAGGGACAAAAUGCAUGCAGGAGUUCGUCUGCUGCUGCUCGCCAAUGAAAAAGCACGCAUGAAGUGUAUUAAUUUCCCAUUCAUGGCACCAACAACAAUGGCUUUCAAUGCAACUAAUGAAUGGGUUGCAUGCAUGCACCUUUCCAAAGCGAGGGCUUAUAAAAAGGGACAUGCUUGUGAUGCUAAGAGGCCUAAUAAGCCCGGACGGAGGGAGGCAAGCCAAAAGAAGCAAAUUCGAAAUCUUCACGAUGCCAAUGCCAGGCCAUGA
rnacentral:rRNA from 1 species